GGCACCCAGGGCUUGGGGUGAGAGCUUCAGUGUUCUCUCUGGAGCCCACAGCCCCAUUCCAGGGCAGAGGAGGACCGGCUCUCAUUUAAUGUUUAACACGCUGGCUGUGGUCAGGAUAAUCACAAAGAGCCAGGGGCACAGCGGGGGAGAAGCCUGUCACCCUGAUAGAAAGCUGCUGAAAUCAUCCAGUUGGAGAAACUGAGGCUCAGAAGUUAAGAACUACAAGGCUCUGCUCCUCGGGGAGCCAGGAAGGCUUGUCCUCCGCAAGGACUCCAAGAACACAUUUACUUAACACGUGGUGCUGAGGACUGAACCCAGAACUGUGCAUGCUGAGGACAGCCCUCUUCCAAGGGAGCCACCUCCCAGCCCACCCAGCUCCCCGCCCCCUGCGGUGCUGGGCCUUGGCCCGGGCCUAGGGCCUCCUAGGGAAGCCGGUGCCUCGCGCUCCCUCCACCCCGCGGGUAGGUCGGCUUUGUUCCUCUGUGUGGUUCGGGGACAGAACCCAGAGGGCUCUACCAUUGGGCUUAAUACCCAGCCCUUUUAAAAUUUUAUUGACUGGCCUCAAACUUGGGGUCCUCCUGCCUCAGCCUCCCCAGUAGCUGGGAUUACAGGCCUGCGCAGUGCCGUCCCCGCUGAGUGAUUUUUAACAGAGAAACAUCCCAGCCCCUUGUCUCCGUCUGGUGGGGGGCACUACCCACUGGUCACGUUCCACCUGGUGUCCCCUCCUCUUUCUGUGUCCCGCACACGGAGACCUUCAUUCAGUGGAAGUCACUCACCGACUACGGAUUAAGUGCCAGCUCUAGGAGAUGACAACUAAACACGAAAUGAGUCACUUGCUUAGUGGGAGGAGUCAGAACAGCCACCGGGAGGGAGAGAAAGUCCCCUGCAGGAGGACCAGGAGCGGGGGCUGUCCCCAGUGCUCCCUGAGGCCCGCCGCUGGUCAGCUGUGGCCGGCCCCUUCCUACAGCCCCGGGGUGUUGACGCCAGGUGCCCUGGACGAGGAGCCGGUCUGUCGUCUGGCUCUUGCGCAGAGACCGUGGCACCCACACCCCGCGGGGAACUGGGGCGAGGCCCCCGCCGCCCUCCGGAGGGGACGCUCCGACGCGCACCGCGGGUUCCGUCCACCCCAGGGCGCGGCCCCGGCCCCCGCAAACGUGGAGGCCCGCACCCUGCCCGGGACCGAAGCUGGAGCAGAGAUGCCCCGCCAGCUCGGGACCCUUCCGGCCACCGCGGCUCCUCCUGGCCCGUGUGAGCCUCAGGGACCGGGCGCGGCUGGAGUCACCCAGAGACGCCGCCAGGCGGCGCUGAGUCCCGAGCGCACGUGGGGCCCGCGAUCGGCCCCGGGGGACCUUGUAAGGCUCGGGGACUUGGAACCUUCCCCUAAGGGCGUCGUGUGGGCCUACGGCCAGGUUGAGAGAAAGGC